CGGGUGAGUAACACGUGGGCAAUCUGCCCUGCACUCUGGGACAAGCCCUGGAAACGGGGUCUAAUACCGGAUACUGACCCUCGCAGGCAUCUGCGAGGUUCGAAAGCUCCGGCGGUGCAGGAUGAGCCCGCGGCCUAUCAGCUUGUUGGUGAGGUAACGGCUCACCAAGGCGACGACGGGUAGCCGGCCUGAGAGGGCGACCGGCCACACUGGGACUGAGACACGGCCCAGACUCCUACGGGAGGCAGCAGUGGGGAAUAUUGCACAAUGGGCGCAAGCCUGAUGCAGCGACGCCGCGUGAGGGAUGACGGCCUUCGGGUUGUAAACCUCUUUCAGCAGGGAAGAAGCGCAAGUGACGGUACCUGCAGAAGAAGCGCCGGCUAACUACGUGCCAGCAGCCGCGGUAAUACGUAGGGCGCGAGCGUUGUCCGGAAUUAUUGGGCGUAAAGAGCUCGUAGGCGGCUUGUCACGUCGGUUGUGAAAGCCCGGGGCUUAACCCCGGGUCUGCAGUCGAUACGGGCAGGCUAGAGUUCGGUAGGGGAGAUCGGAAUUCCUGGUGUAGCGGUGAAAUGCGCAGAUAUCAGGAGGAACACCGGUGGCGAAGGCGGAUCUCUGGGCCGAUACUGACGCUGAGGAGCGAAAGCGUGGGGAGCGAACAGGAUUAGAUACCCUGGUAGUCCACGCCGUAAACGGUGGGCACU
rnacentral:rRNA from 1 species